rnacentral:sRNA from 1 species
GCAUUUGAGCUGAAAUAUGAAUCUUAUAUUUUAAAACAAAUACAAAUGAUUAUGAGAUGGUAUUAAAAACUCGAUAACUAAGAUAUUCUUGCAAUUUUUUUUUUUUUUAAACCAGGAAGGAGAAGAUGCAGUCCAGUUUGCUAACAGGGUUAAGUCUGCUAUUGCUAUACAAGGAGGCCUGACUGAACUUCCCUGGGAUGGAGGACUAAAGAGAGCAAAGGUGAAGGACAUCUUUAAGGAAGAGCAGCAGAAAAAUUACAGCAAGAUGAUUGUGGGCAAUGGAUCUCUCAGCUAAGAGGACGGAUGACAGCCUUUAGAUCUAGAACUAGCCCUUAGAAAUGGAAUGGCUUUAUUUUUUGUUUUGUUUUAUUGUUUUGUUUUUAUUAUUGUUAAUCUUUUCUACAGAAUGAUUGUCUCUACCUCUUUAUGCCAGAGGCAGAACCUACAGGUGCCCUUUUUGGCUUUUGUUGUUGUUGUAACAUUAGCCCCAUGGAUUGUAAGGUGGUUUACUGAGUUAAAACAGAUUCUGCAUUUGUAAAAUGAUGGCGUCACUGUGGACUGAAUGAAAUAUUUGUAUAGAAAAAGUGCUUGUAAAGUGUGUUUGGAACUCAUUGAUAGGGUAAUUCUCCAAAAAUGCCCAAACUCUUUUUCUGUAAUUAGCCUU